GGGCAUAACAUUAAAAGAACCUUUGCCUCACUCCUAAAUUGGAGCGAGACAGCAGGGUCCCAUGCUGCUGGAGUUCAAGGAGUGUUUGGACACCACAUUCAGACAUAGGUUUUCAAUUUCUGAUGAUCUUAUCUGGGGUCAGAUGUUGGACUUGAUGAUCUCUGUGGGUCCCUUUCAAUUCAGGACGUUCUGUGGUUCUACAUGUAUGCAAACUUGUGGAAACAAAUGUAGAAAUCUUAAGAACUCUGUGGCCCAAACUAAGAUGCAAAGCAGCUCUCAUCCAGCGCUGGGGUAACUGAAUGAAGCACCAUGCAUGAACCAACAAGGCUUGUCUAAAGUCCAGGCUGAUAAAUCACCACAACGAUUCCUUAGUUUGCUCCUCAGCACUGAUGAUUUAUGUUUGACCGCUCAGAGUUCAGGUGACACAACCAUGUAAAUGAGUCUUUGGCUUUUUUUUGUUGUUGGAUCAAGAACUUUGCAUCAGUUUCUGUCUUUGGGAAGAUAUCUGACCUGUUCCACGCAACCCAAUUUUCAGACCUAGACAUAAGAUGAAACAUUUGCUGUCCUAUAAUAUAUAUAUAUAUAUAUAUAUAUCCUAUAUAUAUAAAUAUGGAGUUAUCCAUAUUUAUUAAAGAAGAAAAUUGCCAGAACUGCAAGUACAACCCUAGAUAAAGAGUUGACCCUAUUCCUAGUCCUUCAGGAAAUUGCUUUCCAGCACAAUCUCAUAUUUUCUAAAAUGACAUCUUAUAUAACACCAAAUAUUAUAGAAGAGAACCAAAGACUUAAAUCUACCAUGGUAGAAAAACAUCAAGAUAAUGGUGUAGACUUGAAAUAAAUGCUAGUCACGUUUGAUCAAAAGAGUACACCUGAGGUUUCUUGUUGUUGUUUCCUCCUAAAUACCGUUCAUUUUAUCACAUACUCUUUCAUUAUUUUCUGGGUCAUUUGAUUUCCUUUUACACCUUACUCAAUACUCAGGUUAUCAGCCUUUGCAAAUAAUUGUUACCUGUUAUGUUUUGGUAGAGCACCUAGAAUGUCUGUGGCUGCAGACCCCCCACAGCUGAAAGCUGUCUCGUGUAAGUAAAGGCAUAGACCUCAAAAAGUACUGGAAAUACAAGAGAGAGAAGUACGUUCCUCUGCCCUCAUACCCUCUACCUCCUUCUACACAAUUUGGACAAAUAAUAGAAACCUCACAGUGAUUUUCUGUGGACAGAGGUCCUGUUCCUAGCCUACAGCUCUCUAUCCAUGCUUUCAUUUUGUAUUCACUAAAGAAGCAACAUUAGUGGGCCGCGCUAGUGACUACGUUAUCUAGUUCUCCCACUUUCUUUCUCUGAGUACUUCCAGGUUAAAUAUGGAAACUACACGCUGUGCUUCUGAAUCCUGCAUGCUGCAAUAGUUCUAACUGAAUGCAAUUGAAUAGCUCUAGCAUGCCUCAGACUAACAUCUUUGAAGGCAUCUUGAGGAGAUCUUCAAACGUGAUAGCCUGAAGCCUAAUUGUGCUUUUUAAUUAUGUUAAGACAGUUUGAAUGAGCCAGUGUGAUAAAUUACAACCACACCUUUGGCAUGCCAACACAUACUUCUGAGGGAGUACUCUAAAUUUGCAAUGCACAGCACUAGCAUGUUUUGCAUAUGAUCAUUUCCAUGCGAUGGGUUCAGGAAAGCAACAGUCCAUCAGCCCAGAAAGAAUGUCCUUCACUCCUGUGUGCAAGGGUGAACCACUGGCCACAGCACUUUCCCGACGUCUACUGCCUUUUAGCUCUGCUUUUCAUCUGAAAGGCAUCUGAAAUAAUAGAAGACAAUAGUAGCACCUCCUAGACUAUACUUCUAACUUUAUAACUUUGCUAGUGAUCAAAGGGAAGGAAGUGAUUCAUACUUUCAUAGCACGAACAUGGUAAUCUGUUCCUCCUUAUAUUGUUUCCAGACUUCACUCAAGGAUGUGACACCUUCUGCUCCUUUGUUUGUGACCUCACACAAGCUUAGGUUCCCCCCACAACAGUUAAAAUAGUUUUCCCUAGUCUAAGCCUUCACCUUUUUGUUGUUGUUGUUGCUUUUUUUCUAUCUAUCUGAAGCAACUUUUGUAGGAGGAAAGAUUAGUAUCCAGCACAGUAGUGCAGUGCUGAGCCAAAACUCUGUCUUUCCUCUAAAGUUAUAUCCACCACACUCUGACAGUGACAAUACUCCUGAGAACGAAGGAUGCUUUGAGUCUUAGUGCACAGUAAGGCAACUGACCACAGAUGCUGGGAGUUACAUGUACUAACACACAAGCUUAUCUUAUUCCAACUGCAUUACCGCUUGUCCGAAGAUGUUUCAGUUAAGCCCCAGUAUGAUGAAUCUGCUACCACCUUCCAGCUAAGAUGUGUGUUCCCCAAAGAAACAAGUUGUCACUCUUGGUGUGCGAGUGCUGUAGAAGCAUGCAGCAGAGCAGAUGCCAUUUAACCAGUCCAGACCAGUUGCAACCUGUGUUUUGUGAAGGGGAGCCUAAAAGUUUCUGGCCACAAAGAAGCAAACUGCAGGGAAAACAAGGAAGUACUGGCAAAGACAAGCUGAUGGGAUCAGAGAACUUUUCAGUGAGAAUGAAGUUAGAGCAGUGUGGGAAGGAAAAGCACUUCAAUCAUCUUUCCAGAUGGAAUUUGGAAAUGCUCUCUAAAAUUAAACUUUUCCCCUGGUUCCCCCCAGUAGUCUUUAUCACUUGACAAAGUCAUAUUUCCUUUUAUUCUGGUGUAGAUUCUUUAGAGCAAACGUGUGAAAUCAGUCAUUUUAACGAUGACUGAAACUUUUUGGCUUUCGAGAAACGCCAAGAAACAAAAAAGAUAAGAAUCAUUUGCAGUGUCUAAUCCUGAUUAGUAAUGGUUAUUAACUCCAAAAUGCAUUGCAUUGCUUUAGGAAGCCAAAAAUCUCUUAUGUUUACUUCCUAUCCUGUAGUAAUAUACCUCAUUUUACAAAAAAAUGAGCUUCUUUUUCUUUUUGCUUUAGUAAAUGGAGAAUUAUUUCACGUGGCCAUAUAUCCACUAUUCAUUUUUUUUUUGGUCAUUUCGUGAAUUACUAAUUUCAUAGAAUGACUGUAACAGUUAUUACAAGGAUCAUUAAGAAGGGAUAUAAAAAUAAUGUGUAGAAAUAUUCCAACGAUUGUUGUUAGUGUCUAUUUUUAUUCAGAAUUCUUGCAUGCCUAUACAGCCAGAGGGGUGAUUUCAAACUGUGGCUCUCUUUGCAUUUAUGAUGUGGUAGCUGCCAAAAUCUUCAAGCGAGUAAAAGCUAUUUGGCCAUGCUGCCAAAUGUGAUACCCCUCUGAAACAUUUCUGUUUGCUAUGACUCUCACAAGAGAAAUGCCUUCUGUUUGAACAUUCAGAUAUCAAUAACCCAUCAUGGCUUUUAUACAGCACCUGAGAAUACAGUUACUACUGCUUGAUCUCAAAGAAGUGUAAGGACUCAACGCGGAUUGCAAAUCCUAGUGUACAAUAUAAUCAUAGAAACACUGAGGUUGGAAAAGACCUCUAAGAUCAUCAGGUCCAACCACAAGCCCACCCUCACCAUGUGCACUGCCCACAUCCCUCAGUGCCACAUCCACACAGUUCCUGAACACCUCCAGGGAUUGUGACUUCACCACCUCCCUGGGCAGCCUGUGCCACUGCAGCACCACAGCUUCUGAGAGGAAAUGUUUCCUGAUAUCCACCCUGAAGCUCUCCUGGUGUAACUUAAGGCCAUUCUCUCUUGCCCUAUCACUAGUUACCUGCAAUGAGCAGGUCAUCCCACACGUAUGAGAUACUGCAGAACUGGAAUCUCUUCUGUAAUUGAGUGUGGUAAUUUUUUCCUUUAUUUGUAGUUCUCCCGUGUUGCCCUUUAUAAAUGCUACUGGUAUAUGGGCUUGAACCUAAUGUUUACUGACACUCGUGUGACAGCUUUUAGAGACAAAGAGUCUCACCAGCUUAGAAUUCAGCUGUGAAUUUGGCCUUAUUUCAAAAGGGACAUCUGAAAAACAGUGUUUCAUCUUCAAAUGUGAGUAUUGUGGAAUUACAGUGUAUUUUUAUAAAAUGGUGGCCCAGGAAUGGUGGAGUACAGGACCACUGUAUGGCCUUAUCAAGGAGUUAAUGUACACUUCAAGACUCUCCAUGCUGCUGUUACUUAUCAGGGGAAAUCUGCUCCUACAAGAUCAGCUUCUGGAUAAUAAACCAUAAUUUGUGCUUUUUUUCUUUGUAGUCU